GAGGGUGGAGGGGAGGACGAGGAAGAAAGCAAGGUGAGGAAUGUGUCGGAGCGUUACCAACAGUAUGGGCGCCUUAUCGACGAAAGGGCGCACAAGAACGUGGCGGUGAUUGUGGCUGGGAACUCCUUGGUUAACCUGAAGUGCUCCCUUCUGCUAGAGAACGCUCCCUCGGUUGACAGCGGACGCUUUGUCGGCGUGGCAACUCAACUGGAGUACGAAGCCAGAGCCCACAUUGCACAGAAGCUAUCUGUGAAGACUGCAGAUGUGACAGAUGUCAUCGUUUGGGGCAACAUCAGCGGCAGUUCCCAUGUUGACCUGCAGAGGGCGAAGGUUUUCCAAUACGAAGGGGCCAUCUGGGGACCAUCAGAUUUUUCUCAGCCAGUCCUAAAGAUGAUAUAUGACAGGUAACUUAACUGUUUGCUAAGA